CAGUGUGAUCACACCGCUGCAAGUCCAGUCGCGUGCGUGUUGGCUGAUCGAUUGUUGAGUCCUCGUCGUAAAUGAGCUUGUUGUAGUUAACGGUGAGCAUCAUCGCAUUGUGGUGCGUUUCAUUUUGAACUAAAGGUUCACACAGCUCAGUUUGAACGCACUCCUCGUCGUUAGUGAAAAUAAGAUCGAGAAAGCGAUUGUUUUGAUUCGGUAUUCCACACACUUGCAGCAAACCACUGGAAGACAUUUCGUCAACAGUGAUGGAUUCCUCCGGUGUGCGAACUUGUAGAGGACUCGCUACUUCAACCAUGCUGCGAACGCUCUCGGUAUACGAUCUAUACCGUGCCAGGCUUGCGUCGGGAGAUUGAUUCUUUGACGAUGGAGCUAGCGAGCGAGGCUUUCACGGCAAUAAGAACACCGCCGCCAGAGGAUUUAUCGGCAUUGGACAAUGUACGAUCGCAACGAAAACAUAAAUAUCAUAGUCAUGUUCGAGGGACGACAAGAACACUGACUGCAAUCGAUUAGCACCGCGGAUGCUGUUCAUGUUUUGGUAAUAGAUACGCAACUCUUCAUAGGAGCGAGUCUGAUUU